rnacentral:SRP_RNA from 1 species
GCCGGACGUGGUGGCGCGCGCCUGUAGUCCCAGCUACCAGGGAGGCUGAGGCAGGAGGAUCGCUUGAAUCCAGGAGUUCUGGGCUGUAGUGCGCUAUGCCGAUCGGGUGUCCGCACUAAGUUCGGCAUCAAUAUGGUGACCUCCCGGGAGCGGGGGACCACCAGGUUGCCUAAGGAGGGGUGAACCGGCCCAGGUCGGAAACGGAGCAGGUCAAAACUCCCGUGCUGAUCAGUAGUGGGAUCUCGCCUGUGAAUAGCCACUGCACUCCAGCCUGGGCAACAUAGCGAGACCCCGUCUCUU